rnacentral:rRNA from 1 species
GGGUUGUGAGGUUAAGCGACUAAGCGUACACGGUGGAUGCCCUGGCAGUCAGAGGCGAUGAAGGACGUGCUAAUCUGCGAUAAGCGUCGGUAAGGUGAUAUGAACCGUUAUAACCGGCGAUUUCCGAAUGGGGAAACCCAGUGUGAUUCGUCACACUAUCAUUAACUGAAUCCAUAGGUUAAUGAGGCGAACCGGGGGAACUGAAACAUCUAAGUACCCCGAGGAAAAGAAAUCAACCGAGAUUCCCCCAGUAGCGGCGAGCGAACGGGGAGCAGCCCAGAGCCUGAAUCAGUGUGUGUGUUAGUGGAAGCGUCUGGAAAGGCGCGCGAUACAGGGUGACAGCCCCGUACACAAAAAUGCACAUGCUGUGAGCUCGAUGAGUAGGGCGGGACACGUGGUAUCCUGUCUGAAUAUGGGGGGACCAUCCUCCAAGGCUAAAUACUCCUGACUGACCGAUAGUGAACCAGUACCGUGAGGGAAAGGCGAAAAGAACCCCGGCGAGGGGAGUGAAAAAGAACCUGAAACCGUGUACGUACAAGCAGUGGGAGCACGCUUAGGCGUGUGACUGCGUACCUUUUGUAUAAUGGGUCAGCGACUUAUAUUCUGUAGCAAGGUUAACCGAAUAGGGGAGCCGAAGGGAAACCGAGUCUUAACUGGGCGUUAAGUUGCAGGGUAUAGACCCGAAACCCGGUGAUCUAGCCAUGGGCAGGUUGAAGGUUGGGUAACACUAACUGGAGGACCGAACCGACUAAUGUUGAAAAAUUAGCGGAUGACUUGUGGCUGGGGGUGAAAGGCCAAUCAAACCGGGAGAUAGCUGGUUCUCCCCGAAAGCUAUUUAGGUAGCGCCUCGUGAAUUCAUCUCCGGGGGUAGAGCACUGUUUCGGCAAGGGGGUCAUCCCGACUUACCAACCCGAUGCAAACUGCGAAUACCGGAGAAUGUUAUCACGGGAGACACACGGCGGGUGCUAACGUCCGUCGUGAAGAGGGAAACAACCCAGACCGCCAGCUAAGGUCCCAAAGUCAUGGUUAAGUGGGAAACGAUGUGGGAAGGCCCAGACAGCCAGGAUGUUGGCUUAGAAGCAGCCAUCAUUUAAAGAAAGCGUAAUAGCUCACUGGUCGAGUCGGCCUGCGCGGAAGAUGUAACGGGGCUAAACCAUGCACCGAAGCUGCGGCAGCGACGCUUAUGCGUUGUUGGGUAGGGGAGCGUUCUGUAAGCCUGUGAAGGUGUACUGUGAGGUAUGCUGGAGGUAUCAGAAGUGCGAAUGCUGACAUAAGUAACGAUAAAGCGGGUGAAAAGCCCGCUCGCCGGAAGACCAAGGGUUCCUGUCCAACGUUAAUCGGGGCAGGGUGAGUCGACCCCUAAGGCGAGGCCGAAAGGCGUAGUCGAUGGGAAACAGGUUAAUAUUCCUGUACUUGGUGUUACUGCGAAGGGGGACGGAGAAGGCUAUGUUGGCCGGGCGACGGUUGUCCCGGUUUAAGCGUGUAGGCUGGUUUUCCAGGCAAAUCCGGAAAAUCAAGGCUGAGGCGUGAUGACGAGGCACUACGGUGCUGAAGCAACAAAUGCCCUGCUUCCAGGAAAAGCCUCUAAGCAUCAGGUAACAUCAAAUCGUACCCCAAACCGACACAGGUGGUCAGGUAGAGAAUACCAAGGCGCUUGAGAGAACUCGGGUGAAGGAACUAGGCAAAAUGGUGCCGUAACUUCGGGAGAAGGCACGCUGAUAUGUAGGUGAAGCGACUUGCUCGUGGAGCUGAAAUCAGUCGAAGAUACCAGCUGGCUGCAACUGUUUAUUAAAAACACAGCACUGUGCAAACACGAAAGUGGACGUAUACGGUGUGACGCCUGCCCGGUGCCGGAAGGUUAAUUGAUGGGGUUAGCGCAAGCGAAGCUCUUGAUCGAAGCCCCGGUAAACGGCGGCCGUAACUAUAACGGUCCUAAGGUAGCGAAAUUCCUUGUCGGGUAAGUUCCGACCUGCACGAAUGGCGUAAUGAUGGCCAGGCUGUCUCCACCCGAGACUCAGUGAAAUUGAACUCGCUGUGAAGAUGCAGUGUACCCGCGGCAAGACGGAAAGACCCCGUGAACCUUUACUAUAGCUUGACACUGAACAUUGAGCCUUGAUGUGUAGGAUAGGUGGGAGGCUUUGAAGUGUGGACGCCAGUCUGCAUGGAGCCGGCCUUGAAAUACCACCCUUUAAUGUUUGAUGUUCUAACGUUGACCCGUAAUCCGGGUUGCGGACAGUGUCUGGUGGGUAGUUUGACUGGGGCGGUCUCCUCCUAAAGAGUAACGGAGGAGCACGAAGGUUGGCUAAUCCUGGUCGGACAUCAGGAGGUUAGUGCAAUGGCAUAAGCCAGCUUGACUGCGAGCGUGACGGCGCGAGCAGGUGCGAAAGCAGGUCAUAGUGAUCCGGUGGUUCUGAAUGGAAGGGCCAUCGCUCAACGGAUAAAAGGUACUCCGGGGAUAACAGGCUGAUACCGCCCAAGAGUUCAUAUCGACGGCGGUGUUUGGCACCUCGAUGUCGGCUCAUCACAUCCUGGGGCUGAAGUAGGUCCCAAGGGUAUGGCUGUUCGCCAUUUAAAGUGGUACGCGAGCUGGGUUUAGAACGUCGUGAGACAGUUCGGUCCCUAUCUGCCGUGGGCGCUGGAGAACUGAGGGGGGCUGCUCCUAGUACGAGAGGACCGGAGUGGACGCAUCACUGGUGUUCGGGUUGUCAUGCCAAUGGCACUGCCCGGUAGCUAAAUGCGGAAGAGAUAAGUGCUGAAAGCAUCUAAGCACGAAACUUGCCCCGAGAUGAGUUCUCCCUGACUCCUUGAGAGUCCUGAAGGAACGUUGAAGACGACGACGUUGAUAGGCCGGGUGUGUAAGCGCAGCGAUGCGUUGAGCUAACCGGUACUAAUGAACCGUGAGGCUUAACCUUACAACGCCGAAGCUGUU